rnacentral:rRNA from 1 species
GAUCAUGGCUCAGGAUGAACGCUAGCUACAGGCUUAACACAUGCAAGUCGGGGGGCAGCAUGAAGUCAGCUUGCUGACUUGAUGGCGACCGGCGCACGGGUGAGUAACGCGUAUCCAACCUACCCCUUAGUAGGGCAUAGCCCGUAGAAAUGCGGAUUAAUACCCUAUGUUUUCCGAGGAUGACAUCUGACUUGGAACAAAGAUUCAUCGCUAAGGGAUGGGGAUGCGUCCGAUUAGCUUGCCGGCGGGGUAACGGCCCACCGGGGCGACGAUCGGUAGGGGCUCUGAGAGGAAGGUCCCCCACACUGGUACUGAGACACGGACCAGACUCCUACGGGAGGCAGCAGUGAGGAAUAUUGGUCAAUGGGCGCGAGCCUGAACCAGCCAAGUAGCGUGCAGGACGACGGCCCUACGGGUUGUAAACUGCUUUUAUCAGGGGAUAAAGUGCGGGACGUGUCCCUCAUUGCAGGUACCUGAUGAAUAAGGACCGGCUAAUUCCGUGCCAGCCGCUGC